CAGCAGGAGCGGGAGAGAGACUGACUGCAGGGAGGAAAAGAAGAGCUCCACUCUCCGCUGAAGAAGCAGCUGCUACAGUGAUGCAAGAGUGCCCCCUGCUGCUUCCCGUGUCUGGGAGCAUCACUGGACAGUAGAUUGCUUACAGUUGAAGCUCAUCACCAAAAACCAAAUCAUUUAAAUACCAAUGGAAUCCUGCAAAAUGCUGCAGUGACAUGACAGGCAGUGUGUCUUGAAACUGAUUUACCAUGGUCUCCAUGAGCUUCCAGUCCUUCUCCAGUUGCUCCAUCGGUCGGGUCCACCAGCUGCAGAAGCGGGC